AGCAGUGUGGCUCAGUGGAAAGAGCGCAGGCUUGGGAGUCAGAGGUCACGGGUUCUAAUCCUGGCUCUGCUG
rfam:Ornithorhynchus anatinus chromosome X1, whole genome shotgun sequence.